GCAGGGGGGGGCGCCUGCGCUGUGAGUCGGGGGCGGAUGUGUAGAGAAACAAGAGGGGCCCUGAGAGGGCGGGGAGAGCCCUCUGAACCAGACGGUUGGGCGCCCCAUGCGGUUGGGAGGAAGGAGCAGGGAAAGCUCUCCGGAAGCCUCUUUGGAGCCCAGGCGGCGAUAGAGAUUGAGAAGGUGUUCAUGCUAUGGGAGAACAAGUUCUGCCAGUAGACCAAGAGGGCCACCUGAGGAUCUUUCCCUGUAUCCACCCUUCCUUUGCAAGUGAUAGAGAUGCCGGGAAAAGGGCUGCAACCUGGGCCUAUAUUGUUGGAGAAAGCUGGCAAGCUGGGGUCUAGAAACCAGAUCUCAGCUACAUUUCCAGCAAGUCAGGCCUCAGGAGCACUGUCCAGGAGCAUGUGAGAGAGGAGGAGCCCAGCCCACUGGUCCUGCUGUCACAGGCCCUCUCAUUUCUGCACCAAGACUUGCACUUGAGGCAGCACUGCCCUGGGGGCUCCAGAUGAAGCAGAUGAUAGGAAGAUUGUUCCAUGCCGAGGAGGCCUAAGAUGAUCUAACUGGCGCUCUGCCAAAGG